AGCAGCCGCGGUAAUUCCAGCUCCAAUAGCGUAUAUUAAAGUUGUUGCAGUUAAAAAGCUCGUAGUUGAAUUUCGGGGUUAGUAGGUUGGUCAUGCCUCUGGUAUGUACUGGUCUCACUGAUUCCUCCUUCCUGAUGAAUCUUAAUGCCAUUUAUUUGGUGUUUGGGGAAUUUGGACUGUUACUUUGAAAAAUUAGAGUGUUUAAAGCAAGCUAACGCUUGAAUACAUUAGCAUGGAAUAAUGGAAUAGGACGUUCGAUCUUAUUUUGUUGGUUUCUAAGAUUGACGUAAUGAUUAAUAGGGAUAGUUGGGGGCAUUAGUAUUCAAUUGUCAGAGGUGAAAUUCUUGGAUUUAUUGAAGACUAACUACUGCGAAAGCAUUUGCCAAGGAUGUUUUCAUUAAUCAAGAACGAAAGUUAGGGGAUCGAAGACGAUCAGAUACCGUCGUAGUCUUAACCAUAAACUAUGCCGACUAGGGAUCGGAUGAUGUUAAUUUUUAAUGUACUCA
rnacentral:rRNA from 1 species